rnacentral:rRNA from 1 species
UUACCUACGGGGCGCAGCAGUAGGGAAUCUUCCACAAUGGGCGAAAGCCUGAUGGAGCAACGCCGCGUGGGUGAAGAAGGUCUUCGGAUCGUAAAACCCUGUUGUUAGAGAAGACAGUGCGUGAGCGUAACUGUUCACGUUUCGCCGGUAUCUAACCAGCAAGCCCCGGCUCACUACGUGCCAGCAGCCGCGGUAAUCCGUCGGUGGCAAGCGUUCUCCGGCUUUAUUGGGCGU